rnacentral:rRNA from 1 species
AUGAGGCCCGGAGCCGAGUACCCCAUGGCCCACGGCCCCGCGGCGGCGGCGCCGCGGUCGACGUGGCAGACGCCGGUGCCGUACCUCUUCGGCGGGCUCGCGACGAUGCUGGCCCUCAUCGCGCUCUCGCUCCUCACCCUGGCCUGCUCCUACUGGAAGCUCUCCGGCGGCCUCGCCGGCCCGGACGAGGACCAGCCCGCGGGCUCCGACGGCGAGAAGGGCUCGGCCGCCGAGCCCGCGAGGGAGUGGCUGGGGCACGUCGUGGUCAUCAUGGCCGGCGACGAGCAGCCGAGCUUCCUGGCCACGCCGGCGUCGAUGACGAGCCGUGCCGCCGACGCCGGCGCGGAGACCGCGUGCUGCGCCGCGUGCAGGUCGGAGGAGAGGAAGAUGGCGGAUGCGCGGGAGGCCGGCGCGCAGCCAGCCGGCUCCGAAGACGACGCGCAGAGUCUGAGCCCGAGUGAGCUGCCUAGCAGUAGCACUAGUAGCUCUGUGAUUAGCAGCUAG